UACGGGGGGAGCAAGCGUUGUUCGGAUUUACUGGGCGUAAAGGGUGCGUAGGCGGGUCUUUUAAGUCAGGGGUGAAAUCCUGGAGCUCAACUCCAGAACUGCCUUUGAUACUGAAGAUCUUGAGUUCGGGAGAGGUGAGUGGAACUGCGAGUGUAGAGGUGAAAUUCGUAGAUAUUCGCAAGAACACCAGUGGCGAAGGCGGCUCACUGGCCCGAUACUGACGCUGAGGCACGAAAGCGUGGGGAGCAAACAGG
rnacentral:rRNA from 1 species